CAAACUUGGAACAAAAUAAUAAUGAAGAAGAUAAUAUAAUUUAUAGUUUGAAUCAUUUACCAGUACUAAGAUUAGGUAAUGUUGGAGAUGAAGUUCAGGCUGCUUUAAUUUUUUAUUCUAAUAAUUAUAUAUUUUUGAGACCGAGUGAUACAGUAGUUGCAAAAUCUAUUCAAGAAGAAAUGGUAGAGAAUGUA